CACAAAGCCCUCAAGCCAACAAUGUAAAAGACAAUGAAAUAACAAAUAUCAACAAGAACCCUCAACUCGAAACUGUAAAAGCCGAGCCUCAAGGUGGAUCAAAGAGUCGUCUGUCAACAACAACCACAAGAGUAGUAGCCAACAAUAGAGCUUCCUCCACCCAUAACCUAUCUUCCAGCCGUAAUAUACCUUCCUGAGCCACUGCAUGUGCAAACUGAUUGCCAAAUCUUUCAAGGAAAGCAAAUCGACACUCCAGAAAUGCCCGAGAGAGCCCCUUCGCUUCCCAAAUUAAGGCUCUAAUUUAUGAGAAAUCAUUAGACUCAGUUUGCAACUUUUGAACAACCGCCCGUGCGUCACUUUCCAACACAACAAACCGGAACCUCAGAUUGACAGCAAUUCAUAGCUUGUGAAGAACAACUAAAGCUUUUGCGGAAAGACCGAAAAGACAACUAAAGUAACUUGACUGCAUGCCCCCAUAAUCAUUCCGGAUGCAUCCCUUAUAAUAACUCCUGAGCACACUUUCCGCUAUUGAAGGGAAAAACAAGCAUCAACAUUUACUUUUACAAAUGUUGCUGGAGGAGGAUUCCAUCAGACCAACUUGCUUGGGAAUAAUUGACCCACAUUGGACGCAAGCACAUCAAGCUCAGAGCAAUACCCGUGAACAAAGGGUGACGAUCAAAUAUCCAAGAGAGCCAGUCUUUAAAGCUCAUUCGCACAUCAUUACUGGGGCAUCCAUAGUGAAAAGCCAACCAAACAUUCCUAGCAAAAGCACAGUGGCGCAGGACAUGGCUCACAUCCUCAUUGGCUACAUGACAACGAGGACAGUGGGUAUCAUUCGCAAUUCUCUUAUUGUAAAGACAUAAUUUUGUAGGCACAAACUGAUUAAUGAAUUUCCACAAAGCAAUUUUAAUUUUUGAGGGGCACGAAAGCUCCCAAACCUACUGACAAAGCCGUGUAUCCAUUAGAGAUACACUAGCAGGGCCCAACAGCAUUCGGUCCCCACUGCUGACACUUUAUACACUAAAAUAAAAUAUAAAACAUAACUAAAAUAUAAUAAAAGUACUUGUAUUCAAUCUCAUUUCGUGCGAAAACUAGUUUAAUCUGUUACACUGAAUUAUAGCAGAUCAGUAGCCUUGGAUUCGUCCCUCUGUACAAGAUUAUUUGCAACCUGAAACAAGAAAUAAUUUAUGUAAGUUCUUGAGAACUUAGUAAA